rnacentral:rRNA from 1 species
GAUGAACGCUGGCGGCGUGCCUAAUACAUGCAGGUCGAGCGAACAGAUAAGGAGCUUGCUCCUUUGACGUUAGCGGCGGACGGGUGAGUAACACGUGGGUAACCUACCUAUAAGACUGGGAUAACUUCGGGAAACCGGAGCUAAUACCGGAUAACAUUUGGAACCGCAUGGUUCUAAAGUGAAAGAUGGUUUUGCUAUCACUUAUAGAUGGACCCGCGCCGUAUUAGCUAGUUGGUAAGGUAACGGCUUACCAAGGCGACGAUACGUAGCCGACCUGAGAGGGUGAUCGGCCACACUGGAACUGAGACACGGUCCAGACUCCUACGGGAGGCAGCAGUAGGGAAUCUUCCGCAAUGGGCGAAAGCCUGACGGAGCAACGCCGCGUGAGUGAUGAAGGGUUUCGGCUCGUAAAACUCUGUUAUUAGGGAAGAACAAACGUGUAAGUAACUGUGCACGUCUUGACGGUACCUAAUCAGAAAGCCACGGCUAACUACGUG